rnacentral:rRNA from 1 species
CCUACGGGCGGCAGCAGUGGGGAAUAUUGGACAAUGGGGGAAACCCUGAUCCAGCGACGCCGCGUGAGUGAAGAAGUAUUUCGGUACGUAAAGCUCUAUCAGCAGGGAAGAAAAUGACGGUACCUGACUAAGAAGCCCCGGCUAACUACGUGCCAGCAGCCGCGGUAAUACGUAGGGGGCAAGCGUUAUCCGGAUUUACUGGGUGUAAAGGGAGCGUAGACGGCGGAACAAGUCAGAAGUGAAAACCCGGGGCUCAACCCUGGGAGUGCUUUUGAAACUGUUUGGCUGGAGUGCAGGAGAGGUAAGCGGAAUUCCUAGUGUAGCGGUGAAAUGCGUAGAUAUUAGGAGGAACACCAGUGGCGAAGGCGGCUUACUGGACUGUAACUGACGUUGAGGCUCGAAAGCGUGGGGAGCAAACAGGAUUAGAUACCCUUGUAGUC